GCUCAAUAAAGAUGAUUGGUGUUCUU
rnacentral:piRNA from 1 species